GCAACACUACGCUCUGAACUGACUUCCUCUGUAGUCAGUAUGUUACUCAUUUUAGUUUCAUGCAGAUGCUCCUGCAGAUUAAUGUUUUUCGACUCUUCCAUAAAGGAAGAUGGUACUGCAUCUGAUUCGGUGUGUGCAAUAGGUUCAGGUUCUCUGACUUCCUCUGUAGUCAAUAUGUUACUCAUUUUAGUCGUCCGUAGAUUUUCCUGCAGAUAAAUGUUAUUCGACUCUGCCACAAAAGAAGAUGGUACUACAUCUGAUUCAGUGUGUGCAAUAGGUUCAGGUUCUCUGACUUCCUCUGUAGUCAAUAUGUUACUCAUUUUAGUCGUCUGUAUAUUUUCCUGCAGAUAAAUGUUAUUCGAAUCUGCCACAAAAGAAGAUGGUACUGCAUCUGAUUCAGUGUGUUCAUUAGGUACAGAUGCUCCCAAGGUCAAAGAGCCAUUGGAACUAGGAGCCAACUGAUUAGUAUCUAGAGACUCAAUAUUGUUGGUAACAAACGUUUGUAUCAAAUAGGUUCCAUCAUGUUGCAGCACAUCUGCCUCCCCAUCCUCACGCUCAUUG
rnacentral:lncRNA from 1 species